GAUGAACGCUGGCGGCGUGUCUAAUACAUGCAAGUCGAGCGAACAGACGAGGAGCUUGCUCCUCUGACGUUAGCGGCGGACGUGUGAGUAACACGUGGAUAACCUACCUAUAAGACUGGUAUAACUUCGGGAAACCGGAGCUAAUACCGGAUAAUAUAUUGAACCGCAUGGUUCAAUAGUGAAAGACGGCUUUGCCGUCACUUAUAGAUGGAUCCGCGCCGCAUUAGCUAGGUGGUAAGGUAACGGUGUACCAAGGCAACGAUGCGUAGCCGACCCUACAGGGCGAACGGCCAGAGAAGAACUGAGACCCGGUCGCGACGCCCUGAGGAGGCCGCAGUAGGGAAUCAACCGAAAUGGGCGAAAGCCUGACGCAGCGCCGCCGCGUGAGUGAUGAGGGUCUAGGGUGCGUAGAGCUCUGUUAUUAGGGAAGAACGAAUGUGUAAGUAACUAUGAACGUCUUGACGGUACCUAGUCAGAAAGCCACGGCUAAAUACGUG
rnacentral:rRNA from 1 species